rnacentral:misc_RNA from 1 species
AGAGGGAAUUGGCCCAAAAAUUGGAUAGGGGUCAAGACGCAGUCGGGCGCCGGCGGCUGACUCAAGUGCCCCCCGAACCGCGCAAAAUGGUCGCCUAUUACACGGCUCACUAACUCUGCCUGGGGUGGGGGUACCUAUUAUUCGUCGGCGGUCUGGGAAUGAAAGUUAGUUCUCGCUAUCAUUCUGGCUAUACUCUUGAAUGAUAGCUCUAAUUUCACUUCGGAUGGACAUACGGCCCUUGGUCUCAUCCUCCGCAUUUUGACACGCUCGGGUUAACCACGUCUUGAGAUUUCUAAAAUCGUUAAGCGUGGUCGUUUCGUUUUCUGCCCGUGCCUUAUUGCUACCAAUUCGACUGAUUAGCUGUUCGACCACGUCUGUUGGCGAAGGCAGUUUCUUUAUGUCAGGAUAUUUCCGUGCUUCCUUCUUAAUGAGAGGGUAUAGCAGGUCGGCUAAAGUUUGCUUUUGGUUUUUUAUUUCCUCCAGCGUUUGCUCAUACACUGCUUGUUCGGCUGCGGGUACAUUGAGAUCAAAAGAAGGUUGUUUCGAAGAACUAGCACCACUUCGAUCGUCUCCGACGGAAAGAGGAAUUCUAUCCAUGGCAGAAAGAACAAAAUCGAGCAAGUCGGUAAGAAAUGGAGCAAAGAAAGCGGCUUCAAAAGAAAAGCCCCAGUUAGAGUCCAAAAGAAUACGAGUAACCAAAAGUACGGUGAUACUGAUAAUCACUCGUUUCAAAAGAGAGAAAAACAAAAUGCUGAAAAAGGUUCGAUUCAUUUUCUGUGAUGGAAAUAUUCUUCGCGGCUGGUUCUGAACGCCAUCUACUGUGGACUACUGAGAUGCCUUUCAUUGUCAACAGGGGAACGACCCCUAUUAUCGAGCGCGAACGACCUCUUUUCCUUCUGCCUAGGUCUGCUUCAACGAGCCUCGCUACUUCAUGGAGUGAAAGGGGCCUCCAAGUAAAGGCGGCCGAGGGAACCGCCUGCCUAGCAACAUCUUUUCUGGGUAAGUGACUCUCCUUUUCCGGAGAAAGAAAAAGAAAGAGCGUCAUUCCAAUUCCCUUUGAGUUAUAAAGAGUUUACAGAGCGGAAAUAUUUUGGCGGGCAAAUAGUAAGUAUUAUUCUCCUCUUCUAAAAUGCAUAACAGGCCCUUUUGUUCCGUAAUCCUAAAUCCAAUUUUUGGCUCUUAUAUAUCCGUAGU